rnacentral:siRNA from 1 species
GGCACGUCUGCCUGGGUGUCA